GACGAACGCUGGCGGCGUGCUUAACACAUGCAAGUCGAACGAUGAAGAAGAGAAACGCGAACUUCGGUUCAAAUUUCACUUCGGAUUAGUGGCAGACGGGUGAGUAACGCGUGAGCAACCUACCUCUUACAAAGGGAUAGCCUCGGGAAACCGUGAUUAAUACCAUAUGACACAUUCAUAAGGCAUCUUAAGAAUGUUAAAGCUACGGCGGUAAGAGAUGGGCUCGCGUCCCAUUAGCUAGUUGGUGAGGUAACGGCCCACCAAGGCGACGAUGGGUAACCGGCCUGAGAGGGUGAACGGUCACAUUGGAACUGAGACACGGUCCAAACUCCUACGGGAGGCAGCAGUGGGGAAUAUUGCACAAUGGAGGGAACUCUGAAGCAGCGACGCCGGGUGAGCGAUGAAGGAAUUCGUUUCGUAAAGCUCUGUUCUAUGGGAAGAAAAGGACUGUACCAUAGGAGAAAGCCCCGGCUAAAUACGUG
rnacentral:rRNA from 1 species